UUAGUACUCCCUCUGUCCGGAAAUACUCGUCGGAGGAAUGGAUGUAUCUAGACGUAUUUUAGUUCUAGAUACAUUCAUUUUUAUGCAUUUCUCCGACAAGUAUUUCCGGACGGAGAGAGUACUUU
rnacentral:pre_miRNA from 1 species